UGAACGCACUUACUGUAAGUCGCUUUGUACAAAAGCGUCUGCUAAAUUGAUGUAA
rnacentral:sRNA from 14 species